UGUCUGCGGCCUCUCCAGUCCAAAGCUGCUGC
rnacentral:piRNA from 1 species